rnacentral:rRNA from 1 species
CCUACGGGUGACAGCAGUAGGGAAUCUUUCACAAUGGGCGAAAGCCUGAUGGAGCAACGCCGCGUGCAGGAUGAAGGCCUUCGGGUUGUAAACUGCUUUUAUAAGCGAGAAAUAUGAUGGUAACUUAUGAAUAAGGAUCGGCUAACUACGUGCCAGCAGCCGCGGUCAUACGUAGGAUCCGAGCAUUAUCCGGAGUGACUGGGUGUAAAGAGUUGCGUAGGUGGCAUAAUAAGUAGCUAGUGAAAUCUGGUGGCUCAACCAUUCAGACUAUUAGCGAAACUGUUAAGCUCGAGACCGUGAGGGGUAAGUGGAAUUUCUAGUGUAGGAGUGAAAUGCGUAGAUAUUAGAAGGAACACCAAUAGCGAAGGCAGGUUACUGGGACGGUUCUGACACUAAGGCACGAAAGCGUAGGGAGCAAACGGGAUUAGAUACCCCUGUAGUC